GCGACCCCAGGUCAGGCGAGAGCACCCGCUGAGUUUAA
rnacentral:rRNA from 1 species